rnacentral:ncRNA from 1 species
AGGACCUUUCCCUAGUACGAGAGGACCGGGAAGGACGCACCUCUGGUGUACCAGUUAUCGUGCCUACGGUAAACGCUGGGUAGCCAAGUGCGGAGAGGACUACCGCUCGGAAUUAGAUCAUAAGGGAAUUUCUAUCU